rnacentral:rRNA from 1 species
UACGUAGGGUGCGAGCGUUGUCCGGAAUUACUGGGCGUAAAGGGCGCGUAGGCGGUCUUUUAAGUCUUGUGUUAAAUCCCUCGGCUCAACUGAGGAACUGCACGGGAUACUGGAAGACUUGAGUUCGGGAGAGGGAAGCGGAAUUCCGGGUGUAGCGGUGAAAUGCGUAGAUAUCCGGAGGAACACCGGUGGCGAAGGCGGCUUCCUGGACCGAUUACUGACGCUGAGGCGCGAAAGCUAGGGGAGCAAACGGG